rnacentral:rRNA from 1 species
UCGAACUGAAGAGUUUGAUCCUGGCUCAGAUUGAACGCUGGCGGUAUGCCUUACACAUGCAAGUCGAACGGUAGAGGGGCAACCCUUGAGAGUGGCGAACGGGUGAGUAAUACAUCGGAACGUGCCCAGUCGUGGGGGAUAACGUAGCGAAAGCUACGCUAAUACCGCAUACGACCUGAGGGUGAAAGCGGGGGAUCGCAAGACCUCGCGCGAUUGGAGCGGCCGAUGGCAGAUUAGGUAGUUGGUGGGGUAAAGGCCUACCAAGCCUGCGAUCUGUAGCUGGUCUGAGAGGACGACCAGCCACACUGGGACUGAGACACGGCCCAGACUCCUACGG